rnacentral:lncRNA from 1 species
AGAUUGCUGGUGAGACAGCAGCCACUGCUCCCAGGCCCGACAACAGGGGCAGCACCAAAGCUGGUCAGUGUUUCCUCCUUACAGGUCUGAAGGUGCUGCAGAGGAGGGUGCUUCCCAGAGAUCACCCCUGUGACAGACAGAUCGAUUGAAGGACCCCUGAAUGGCUGAAUUGAGAAGAACAAGCAUAUUAGGAGGCCAUACAAUGGGAGCCUCUCAGGCAGACAGACAAAGCCGUGGAAACUGCAGACUUAUUUGUAUGUUCUGGUAAACACCUUUGCUUCAUUUUCCCCGUCUCCGCCUGGACUGAGGGUCACCUCACCUCUCCUGGUGUCCAGAGCCUCCUUCAGGACAGAUGUUGCAAACCUGAGUUCUCACAAACAGCGGGGUCCAGCCCUUCUCAACACUGGAAAGCCCUUGAGCCAUCUUUGAUUUGUGUGUUUUGAUCUAAUUGCACUACUGCUUGCAAUGCUUGUUUUUAGCGGUGAGUGCUGGUUUAAUUUGUUUCUUUCUGGUCUCCCAGCCCCACUCCAGAAUUUUGGCUCCUGGAGAGGAGGGGCCCUGAACUGGCAUUUUCAGUGAAGCAUCCCAGUGCCUUGAAUCCAGUAAGCAGCCAGGUGUCUGUUGGCUUCAUGGUUUAACAACCUACCAUUUGAAGAAUCGCAGAGAUGAAUUAAAAAGAGCCCCGGAGAGGCUCCCCGAUCCAGUUGCACUUCCUGCUUAAGCAAAGUAAAGAAAAACAGGAAUGAAAA